rnacentral:lncRNA from 1 species
GUAUUUUAUCAAUAAAAAUAAAAGGUGUAUUUUGUUGAAAGCAGAGAUCCUGUUGUAUCCUGGAGGUGCAGUCCUUUGUCUGCUGUAACAAUGAAUGAAUUCUUUCCCCAGGAAGUCUUCUGUCUCAUUUGACUUGACCUGGUGUUUUAAAUCAGAAAACAUCUCCUCUGAGAUCUGGAGUGACCUGACUCUUUGCAAAGCCUUCACUUUCGAGAUGACGACACUGAAAUUCGUGAAAUGACUCACCAGUUAGGUCGUGGGGGAGUGGUGAUAGCCCCUGUUUCUAUGGAGCUUCCGUGAAGGUUAUUUCUCCCUAAAUGUCAACAAGGUUUUAAGGGAACAAAACGUUGAGGUUAUUUCUAAAGUUAUCACAUCUAACACAAAACCAAUUAUGUUUCUGUUUUACUUUGUAUCUUAUAAUUAAGCAUUUCCCAUAGUGCAGUGACAAGGAAAAAAUACAUAAGGCUUGUGUGGGGAAAGGCAGCUUCCUAGAAAAGUCUUUGUGAACCUUUGAAGAAAGUGUUUUUUAAACUACUACAUUUUAUUUUAUAUACAUAUAUAAAAGAGCCCAUUAUUUGAGGUCCCUAGAGCAGUCAAAUUCAUAGAGACAAAAAGCAGAACAGUGGUUGCCGGGGGCUGGGGGAGGGGAGAUGGGGAACUGGUUAAUGGGUACAAAGUUUCCUUUUUGCCUGAUGAAGAGUUCUGGAGAUGCCUGGCGGUGAUGGUUGCACAGCAAUGCGAAUGUGGAAGGCCCCAGAACAGGCCGCCCUAAAUUAUGCUGCUUUGGUUUAUUGAUUUUGAGCAGUGGGUGCUUGAAAAACAGCAGGUGCGGGAGAGGCUUUCUCUGUGCCCCCUUCUCUGCCUGAAGACAGGUCCCCCCAAAGCAGCUCGUGGUCACAGCUCCCCUCCCGGGAGUCUCACCAACCAGGUGACUGGCUCUUGUCACAAGGAGGACACUAGGACUUGACACCAAACUAUGUCACAAACUGUCACACCUCCCAGCGAUUCUUCUAAGGCCUGGUCAUCUUUCCUAAAACCAUUUACUCUUCCCUGAGGCCUGCGUUCCCGUCCCCUUCCCCGACUGAGAUGGUGCCUAAAUCUAAAUGCUAAAGCUCCUCUGGGACUCACUCAUUCUCCCCUGGGUCUCUCUCACGCACACAUGAAGGUGACACGUCCAUAAACUUUUGGGCAUUUUUUUCUCUUGUUGAUCUUUUACUACAGGGGUCUCAGCUGAGAACUCUGAAGAGUAGAGGAAAAAUUAUUUCUCCUUCCCUCCAACAUACUUAACACGACUGAAUUGUACACUUAAAAAUGGCUAAGAUGGUAAAUUUUAUGCAUACGUAUUUUGCCACAAUCUAAAAAAAAAAAGUCCCAAUAGGUUAACUAACUCCUUAACGUUCCUAAACUAGGCAAAUUCAGGGACUGGAACUUAAGGCUGAUUUUCUGACUGGCAGGGGACGAAAUUGGUUAUUUUUAAACUGGAGCAGUUUGUGUUCUGGCACACAACACAAAUGCACAAAUGUAAACAGGAAAAAGAACAAAAUCCCUUGGGCUUUUUUUUUUUCUUCCUAAGCUGCAGAUACCCUUGACUCCCUUUUACGGUUAUAUAACCGAUGACAAAGCAAGGCAAGCCUUUCCCACCCAGCUCUCCGAUUUCACCCUUUCUCCUGGGAGGACACUGUUUGCGGCCCAUUGUGCUCUGAGACAUUCUCACGAGGCUGAGUGAAGCCCCAUACUAGUUGUGACCUUCAGGGGAAACGAAUGUUUUGGAGGAAGGAAGAAAGGCAGGCAGACACACAGGCACCAGUCCAACCCCCUCCCCGCAACAGCCCAACACCCAGGCCCUUUGUGAGCUCAGCCCAUCACGUGCCCGAUCUGCCCGCCAAUCCCGCCCUGUUGCUGGCCUCUGUCACUUUCCCAUUGGUGCCAGCUCUGAAGCAAUUUCUUCUGGGGCGCCUGCAAAGGACGGAUCUGUGUGGGCGGAAAGAACUGAAAAUGGAUCCAGGGACUCAUCCAGCUUCUCGCACCUUCCAGCACACUGCAUUCUGAGUCAGAGGCGUUCAGGUUUUAGGAGCGUGACUUGGUACCUGAUUCCCGAUUCCCGAGUCCGAGCGGGACAUUUAGACCUUGGGAGCCCUUCUCAGCAAAGGGAAAAGCAGUGGCAAUAACAACAACAAAAAUCCUCUCUAGAGCAGGGUUCCUCAACCAAAUUACGGACAUUUAGGGCCUGGUGAUUCUGUGUCGCGGGGGCCUGUCCACUGUCGGAAGUUUCAUGGCAUCCCUGGCCUCUACCACUAGAUGCUAGCAGCGCCCCCCACCCCCACCAAGCACCACCACAGUUGUGACAGGCAAAAACGCCUCCAGACGUUGCCAGGUGUCCACGGAGGGGCAAAAAUGAUUCCCAGUUGAGAAGCGCUGCUCCAGAGGCACACCAGUCCCUCUCUUUGGGGGAGGUCAGCGCCGCCUCCCCUCUCUCGCUCAGUGCCCUGGGACAAAUGUUUACUUCUAUUUGCUUCAACAAAAACUCACUCUUGGACUUAAAUUAGGGGAUGCAAACGUUUUCAGAGAAGAUUUUCUGCUAGAGAAAAAAAAUCAGUGUUCUCAGCUCCGAAGAAUGUUGUUUUCUCUUCGGAGCUGACCCUGGGCCUCUCCCCGCCCCCUGAGACGCUCUCCCCCCUCCUCGCCCUCAGAAAUCAGGCCUGUUUUUCUCCAUGCCUUUUGGACUCCGAAAGAAGCCACGUCACAAAGCGUGUGACUCAGCCCUUAAACGACAUGAAUCACAAGGCUUGCAGCCGAGCAACAGCCGAAAGCAAACAAGGUGUGGUUUGAAGUGAGGCCUGGCCACCGGAGAAAGAACCUCAGUUUUCGUUCCUUUGAAAACUUCUCCCUGGAAUUUAGGGAGAAAUAACCUCAUAAAGAGCCUCUGCAUGGUGUUCCUUUAAAACCUCUUUCCAGAAAUUUAGAAAGAAAUAACCUUCACCCAAAUCUUUAUUGGCAGUCGCUGGCGUCUCCUGCUUUCCUGAACAAUGAAUUCUAUUUUUACCAUUUAUUUUAAUUUCCUACUAAUAAAUUCAUUCUCUUUGGACAAGGUUAAAAAUCACAGAGGGUAAAGCAUCUUCAGCACCGCUCAUGGAAGUGAGCAUGAGUGAGGCCAUCUUGUUGUGCUAAGUGGCCCCAGCCCCUCCUCCGUGUGACCACUCGCCGCUCUGCACGUACUCUGCACAAGCAUUCGCACGCCCUCCUGGUUUAUGGCCUCCGCUUGACGUGGGUGCUCCCUGACAGCUUCACAAACUCAAACUUUGUUCUGUGAGUUUCCCUCCAGGCACGGGCUGCCCACAGGCGGGAGGCACACCCACUAGGCCUCCACCACAGCGGGCAGAAGGGAGCAACGUGAUGCCCGCACCCCUCCUCGCUGCCCGUUCCCUAUAUUUGCCUCGAGACCCUGGAAUCCUUGAAGACGGGUUUUUGAGACCUUAGUCACCCAUCUUCCGAUUUGCCGGAAUUAAACUUCCUCUCUCGACCCCUAGCUGGUUGUGAUUAAUUGGCUCACACGGCGCCCAUGGCUCGGCGUCCCUCAGCCCUUCUUCAUAAAUACACACGUACACGGCUUCCCCGGGGAGACGCAGGGCAGUUCCGUCUUGAUUCCCAUCUCAGGGAGAACGCUUAAAUAUUAAAGUGCUCAGAAUUUAGAACAGGAGUGUGGUCUUCUCCUGAUGGCAACAGCUUUCAGUCAGCGGCCUUUCUGUUUUCUUCCUGAAGCUUCCAGGGCGGAAAUUAAAAUGCCCUCCCUCCUGCUCAUUUGUAGAAACAGGGAGUACUUCUAGAAGAGUCCAGAAGGAGCGGCCUGCAGCACGGGGGCACGAGGGGGCCUUCUCACCGCCAGCUCUCACAGACCUGCUUUACCUCUGCACCGUGCUCACGUGUUUUAAGACACUUUUCUCCGCUUUAAUCAAAAUGGGAUUUGCCUCUGGAAUUAAAUAUCGCGUGUGGGAUACUGAGGGUUAUUUCCCCAGAAACACACAGGGCCGAGACUCACUCAGCGUCUGUCUGAGCCUUGACCUAAAUCUCUGAAACGUGAAAUUUCCGAGCGCAGCUGCACAGCGACAGAGCUGACAUUCGGGGGGCUCCUCGGUUAUCAUCGGGGACAAAGGUCCCAGGCGGAAGGCCAGGCGAUCGCACAGCCGGGCUAGAACAAUCUGGAAGGUUCUGCCCUGUCAGCGCCGGGGGUCUGACGAGGCCGGGAGGCAUUCCCGCCUUCCUGGCCGGCGGCGGGCAGCCGGGCCCGAGCACCUUGUCGGGGGCGGGCGCGCCGCCGCCGCGUCCGGCCGGAAGCCGCGAUCUGCCGAGUCAUCCGCCCUGUCCCGGUGCCCGCCGGCGCGGGGGAUGGGCUGGGGCCCCGGGGAGCCCGCGCCCGGCCCGGCCCGGGGGGAGGGAGUUUGGGGAAGCACGAACACUGCCGUUACUUUCAAUGUCACCCUGUCAAGGGUCCCUCAGGGUCGCGGGGGGCGCGCAGGGCGCGUGCGCGCGAGGGGAGCGGGACCCGACUCCGCCUGAGGCGCUCGGCCGGAGGCCUGUCCGCCAGGGGCGGGUCCCGUGCCCGGGAGACGCGGGGUCGUUAGGGUUGAGGGGAGGGGGCGCUGGGGCCGGGCUGCACGGAGAGCCCGCUCCGGCCGCCCGGGAGACUCCGCGCCGGGUUUUCGCGCCCGCCGCGGGCCGCUCCCCCGCCCCCGCCGUCGAACGCCGGCCACGCCGCGGACGCAGCGCGCCGAGAACGCGGUGAUCCCUCCGCCCGGCCUCUCAGGACUGCGGCCCCCUCCCCACCAGACUCCGCUCCAGAGCCCCGGUCUUAACAGGGGAACACUUCAGGAGGGGGAUUAGGGGAUUCCGGGGGGCUGCGCUUCUCUACAGGCAGCAGGAAGGGCUGAGAAAAGUAGUCCCUUCUAGGCGUUUCUGCGGAGGGAUCUUGCGGGGCGGGGCCACGGUUGCUAUAUAAGGGCGCGCCGGGUGUGGUGCAGCCAGUUUCGUCCAGGCCGGGAGUUCGUUGCUUCCUCUUCUCUGCGUGCGGCUGUCAUCGCGAUUUGACAAUGCAGAUCUUCGUGAAGACCCUGACGGGGAAGACCAUCACCCUGGAGGUGGAGCCCAGCGACACCAUCGAGAACGUCAAGGCCAAGAUCCAGGACAAGGAGGGCAUCCCCCCCGACCAGCAGAGGCUCAUCUUCGCCGGGAAGCAGCUGGAGGAUGGGCGCACCCUGUCUGACUACAACAUCCAGAAGGAGUCCACUCUGCACCUGGUCCUGCGUCUCAGAGGCUCAUCUUCGCCGGGAAGCAGCUGGAGGAUGGGCGCACCCUGUCUGACUACAACAUCCAGAAGGAGUCCACUCUGCACCUGGUCCUGCGUCUCAGAGGUGGGAUGCAGAUUUUCGUGAAGACCCUGACCGGGAAGACCAUCACCCUGGAGGUGGAGCCCAGCGACACCAUCGAGAACGUCAAGGCCAAGAUCCAGGACAAGGAGGGUAUCCCCCCCGACCAGCAGAGGCUCAUCUUCGCCGGGAAGCAGCUGGAGGAUGGGCGCACCCUGUCUGACUACAACAUCCAGAAAGAAUCUACUCUGCACCUGGUCCUGCGCUUGAGGGGAGGUGUCUAAGGUCCCCCUUUUAAGCCUCUGACAAAUUACAUUGCACUUUUCUUUCAAUAAAGUUGUUGCAUUCCCAAAUAGUGUGGGUUUUUUAAUGUCAUGUGAGGUUCUUUUUCGUUAGGGUGUGGUGCAAGGGAUCAUGGUUUCCAGUCUACCAAAUGAUUCUCUGGUAACCAAGAGUUAAGAAAUACCAGUAAAAGAUUGCCUUAAUAUAGAAUUGUAGUGGGUGGGUACAAAUAAAGACUAGGCAAAUUAGAGGUUGCUUUUAGAAUUUCCUGUAUAUACACAUAUAUAGACAUUUGAGGGCUACUGACAUUAAAAAUACUGAGUUUGGGGGUGGUUGUGAGGUACCUGAGCAUGGGGAAGUUUCUGGAACACUAGCAGGAAGGAGAUAAGAGGAGGGGUGAUUGUGGUAGAAGGGAACUUACAGAAGUAGCUUUAAUGUCUAGCUGUACUUAAAUCCACGAGCUGCACAGAAGGUUGUCAUCUGACAGACUUUAAAGAAUAUGGCGAGUAUUGUAUAUUAAAUAAAAAUUACCUGGUAGGCAUUAUGCUAGUGUUUGGGCAUUAGUGGUUAUUUGAAAUGUCAUAAUUACUGCUGAAGUAAGUUGUCAAGGUGAUUCCUCGGUUUUCAUGUGGCUACAGAUAAAGGUUUGUAUAUAACUUCAUUGGUGGUGGGUGGAGCAUCUGGCCUUUGGUCUUAGUUUCCAGAAGUUUGUGGUGGUGGCAUUUACCCACUCAGCUGGUGCUGAUAAGGGAUUAUUUUUACGUCUUAACUAGAACCUAAGGUGGAGGUUGCAGGGAAGCUGGUCUAGUAUAAGCAAUUGGCCCUUGGUGAUGGGCACCCCAGAAAUCGGAGCCCCAUCUAAGCGCUGGAAGGGAUUGUCUUCUCCAGAGAGCACCAUUCCCUCCACUGCUCCCUUGCACUCCCCCAGUUUUGGGGUAUCCAUGCAUAACCUCUGAUGUAGAAGGAAAUUUUGUGUUGUCACUGCCAGUUGUAAAAUGGCCAGAACCAGGUUUAAGUCCUAGGUUCAGGGAUCACAACUAGAAAAUUGAGGCCAUUUGAGAAAUCCAUAAAUCUUAGGCAAGUCUGUUAGUUUCUGUGGUUUUUCACAAUAGGCUGGUAGAAGCAUGUGUAACACAGUUUGCUGAAUUUCCAUCCCUUGCCCGUACAAGAUAACAUAGGUCAGGAAGCAACAUUACAAGAACCCCAGGAACUUCACCAGCAGCUGUAACCAGUUACCAGUUACGAUGCUAGGAGUUUUUGUGCAAGUGAUUUUGGUGCUUGUUAGAAAUGAGUGGUCGUAGUACAGGGAAAACAUCUUAAUAGCAUCUUGAAAAUGACCGCUCUGCAGGACAGGUGGUGUAAGGUUCUUAGUCAGUGUUAAUGUAUUACAGGCAACUACUAAGUAUUAAUUCCCACUCACACAGUAGCAUACUGGUUUGUAGUCUGUCCUGCACCUUGUUUUUUGUAUUAUAUAUCAUGGUUUUGGCAGAGUUCUAACAUCUUUUCAUUUUGUAUAAAGGAAAAACACCUUUUGUGUAAUUUUCUCAAGGACAAACCACCCGGGCAACACAAUCCCUAGUGAACUUUUACAGUACCCUCCACCCAAUAAACGGCAUGUCAGAAGCCGUAGUGAUCCAGUGAUGGAUGAGAAGGUUUUCUGCCAUCAGGGGAUCCUUAGUCUAAGAGCAGACUUGCUGGACUUGUUCAGUUUCAUUGAAAGAUUGUUAAAUCUUAAAGCCCCCCAAAGUUUGGUUUCACAUUUGAAUGAAUACUAUGUAAGAACUCACAGACAUGUGGUUCUGUCUCUUGAACAAACCAGAAAAGAUAUGCAUGGCUUGUGUUAAGCUCAUGUUCCUUUUUAUGUUUUGUCUGAAAGCACAACAAAGUCUUCACUAAAAACAGGAUCUCCUGCAAGUUAUGAGUAUGGCCCUAAUAGAGGUAGAAUGUUGAGAGAUCGGCAAGGGCCCUUCAAUGAAGCCGGUCAGCCACCUUAGCGUGCGGUGCUGGUUUCUGCCGGCAGAGGGAGCUCCGGGCACAGACUUCGGUGGAGGCCUGCAGCCUGCAGUGCUCCCAGGCGGUUGCGGUUGACCAGGCAGUUGAUGUACUCACCAGCAAGGGUUACUUUACUCUCAUUUUUCUCCUUCUACCGGUGCUGCAGCCACCUCCGUUUCUACCCCAGCUCGAAUUACUCCAUAAUAUCUAAUAUAGCUGUUACUCAGACCCUCUUUCUUACUGAAUCUCACCAGCCCUCACCGCUCAAAUGCCCUCCUGCCCGCUUCCCCUGUCCGCUGGCCACUUUCUUUUCCCCACCUGCUCCCUGCCAUUUUGCACCUCUUUCCUUCGAGCUACUCCGUCUUUCUGAAAUACCACCCCUCCCACCUCGACAAAUCCAAUCCUGCCCGAUGUCAAGCCCUGAUUUAAAGAAUGCCCAAAGCCUGCCUUGACUGUCCCAGCUGGACAGUGGCUGUCUUCCCUGAAAUCGCGUAGCUCUUUCUAUUUUGUGUUGAAGCUCUUCACUCAAAUGAGGGAGCUCUGCUCCUGUGUGUUUCCCCAGCACAGUGGCGUCUUUAUUAAGUAUGAGAUGUAGUGUUUCAUGGGCUCUUCAUUAGUCCUUCCCCAGACAAGAUGGCUGUAGAAAUCCUGAAAUGAUUCCUGUGGGGCUUCCUAAUUUGCUUGAAAAGAAAACUAGGCACAGAGCUAGAUAGAAGACAGAAGGCAAAUGUUUUCUACCUUGAAACGUAUAUUGCACAGAUCUGAACAAUUAGUAAAAUGAUGGGGUUGUAUGAUCAGAGGCUUUCAACGAGUAAUAAAGGAUGCUUUUAAGAGUAGUAAAUCAAUGAAUAAUAGUAGUCAGUGGUUUGUGUCAAGCCCUGUCUCUACCACCAGAAAAAGUUGAUUUCUGUCUUGCAGAGUGGUCAAGAAUAUAGGCGUCUUUGUUUCCUUUUUUAAGCCAUUCUGCUUUUUGACUGGCUUUUGCGACAGCAUUAGUUUUUUACCAGGCAGAAGAGAAGCCUUGGGCUGUAACCAGAGGUGAGAUGGCUGAAAUCUCAGUGGUCCUCCAACUAGAAUUAGACUGAACAACAGUGUGUGAGUUAGGAGUGCUUUUGGCUACAGGACACAGAAAGAUCCAAAUCACAGAGGAUCAAACAAGGGGGUGUUCAUCUUCUCAUAACAAGCAGUCUGGAUGUAAACCCCAAGCAUUUGCUUUGUUGUGAUUCUCUUGUUCUUUCCCUCAUAGUUGCAAAAUUGUUGUCACAGCUCCAGAUAUCACAUCUGUAUUCAAAGCAGGGAGAAGUGCGGAGCAGUGGGGUCAGCCACGUCAGGUUUUUUUAAUGAAGAAAAU